rnacentral:rRNA from 1 species
GACGAACGCUGGCGGCGUGCUUAACACAUGCAAGUCGAACGGAAAGGCCCUGCUUUUGUGGGGUGCUCGAGUGGCGAACGGGUGAGUAACACGUGAGUAACCUGCCCUUGACUUUGGGAUAACUUCAGGAAACUGGGGCUAAUACCGGAUAGGAGCUCCUGCUGCAUGGUGGGGGUUGGAAAGUUUCGGCGGUUGGGGAUGGACUCGCGGCUUAUCAGCUUGUUGGUGGGGUAGUGGCUUACCAAGGCUUUGACGGGUAGCCGGCCUGAGAGGGUGACCGGCCACAUUGGGACUGAGAUACGGCCCAGACUCCUACGGGCGGCAGGAGUGGGGAAUGUUGCACGAUGGGCGGAAGCCUGCUGCAGCAACGCCGCGUGCGGGAUGGCGGCCUUCGGGUUGUAAACCGCUUUCGCCUGUGACGAAGCGUGAGUGACGGUAAUGGGUAAAGAAGCACCGGCUAACUACGU